CAACUGUUCUGUCUCCAAUAGAAAGUUCCAUGUCCUAUCUGUUUCUUGAAAUUUACACCACAGUUUGUAGAGAUCCAUGCUAGCAUGUGUGGAGAAAGAGAAAAGGACAAUCUUAAGAUGACUGAGACACCUGCUGCGAGCCAGAACAAUGGAGAGGAGCAAAUCUAAAGUGUUGAUGAUGUAUUGGAUGCCAUGUGUGGAAGAGUUGACCUAGAGAAACAGUUCAACAUCCAAAUCUCCAGAACAAACAUUCUGGAGAGAGGCCUACUGCAGUGGCAGCGUCAAAAAAAAAUUCACCUACUGCUGCUCUGAAAGUGACAUUCUUUGGGGAGGCUGGAGUGGACACAGGUGCUCUCCGAAAAGAAUUUCUCACAGAAAUGAUUGCAGGAAUUGAGAGCCGUUUCUUUGAGGGGCCAAAGCACCAGAGGAGCCCACGAUACUCUCUGACUGACUUUGACAGCGGCCUGUACAAGUGGGUUUAUUUUUAUGCAAGUCGGGACAAACGGUUUCUUUCUGUGAAACAUUUUUUAAAACAUUAAUGCUUAAUUUGUGUAAAUAGGACUGUUGGAGAGAUUUUGGCAGUAAGUUUGGCACAAGGUGGCCCGGCCCCUGCCUUUUUCAGCCCAUGGACUUACAGUUACCUCUGUAGUGGCCAGAUAAACCCGGCGACUCUCAAUACCGAAGCAGUUGCAGAUGUCCAGUUGCGAGAGUUAAUUGAGCAGGUUGAAAUGUCAACUGAACAUUCAAUUGAAGGCCUUUCUGAUGAAAUCAUAAAUUGUGGAUAUACUGGAGCUAUCUCAGUGCAAAACAAAGAGUCCAUUGUUCGUGCUGAGGCUGCAGCCUAUGUUGGAACAACUGAGAGAAGGCCUGCAGCUGUAUGACCUUCUUUCGCUAAUAAGGCAGUACCCAGAUAUCUGCCAGCCCCUGUUUGUUCCCGGUGAAGAUGUAAAAGUUAAUGCAGAGUUUGUCAUGGCAUCCAUUCUUCCUCAACUGAGUGACAAAGGGACUUCCAGGCAUCAGAUUGAGCUGGAGAUGAUCAACUUUAUUCAGGACUUCCUUUAUGAAGCUGAAGCUAAAGACCAGGUAGAUGACCAAGAUGGCCUACAUUCCAUCACACCUGCCAGGUUGCUCCAGUGGAUCACAGGCCAAGGUCACAUCCCACUUCUUCCCUCAGAGAAGAAGGAUUUUGCUGUAACAAUCAAGUUUAACCAUGACUGUAGUGCAGACUUUGGCCAUCACAGUGUGUGUUACCCCGUUGUGUCAGCAUGUGCCAAGAAUAUUGUACUACCUGUAAAACAUAUGAGGCCUUAUGACCAAUUCAAAAAGGUUCUAACUGAGGCUUUUCAUCUGGGCCAACAGUUUAAUAUGGUGUAAAUAUUUACCAUCAACUGAUGGUACCUUUUUCUAGGUUGAACUACAACCUACAGUAAAUGAUAAAUGUUGCACCAGUUGCUACUGUUUUACUUAUGUUCUGAUCAAUGAAACACAUUUCUUAGUAAUACGGUGUUCCAAAAUCCAUAUUUGGAAAGAGGAAUUAGUCGAGAGUAAACAUUAAAUUAUUGUUUAAUAGCAGUACUGUUGAGCAUUUCAUGCAAACAUGUUAAGGUUAAGAAGGUAAUCUUGCAACAAGAUUUCAUAAAAGUAAUUAGUUUACAUCUCAUCUAGAUGUCUGGCUAAUUGGCAUCAUGUUGUCUCACUCACAAGUUGCAGCCCAGCACUCUGAGAAGCAGUUAAAGAAUGUUUGUACCAUGUAGCUUCACUGCUGUCAGUAACAAUAAACAUUUAAAACAA